CGUGGAUGAGGCCUUCCCUUUUUCCAUCCCUAUCUUCCUUCUCAGACUUUCCUGGCCUCGAGCAAAAGGGCCUGCAAAUACCUGCUGGCAACUCGUGCCUCUGCUUUCCUAUAAAGUGCCUGCCUUUCCAUUUGAAAUCGCCAAUCACAGCCCUCAAGGCUGAAGUCCCCGCUCAGCCUCACUUAAUCCCACACUUCCAGCCUUUGGCAAGAUUGCCUUUAUUCCUGAUGGCACACUGGGAGAAGCCAGUCUUGGAGAAAUACUGGUGACGUCUCAUGGAACAGAGGAGCACACUUUUGGAAAUGCUGGGUGAGGGCAUUUUCUGCUUCUAACCAGGGUGGCACGAGGUUGGAAAACCACACCAGAUGAAGGUGAGUGGAAGGAAUUUGAGACUGUGUAGCCCAGAGAAGACAAAGCCGUAGGAGUUAGAGGCUGGGAAGCUGCAGAGCCAGGAGCUGGGCUGACCUGAGGAUUCUAUAAGGAGGUGGGCGAGGACUUCAAUCCCAGAACCGCCUGCUGCGGAAAGUCACCACACGCGUGCCACACGUCUGGGAAGACUCCAGGACAGCAUGUUGCUCACCUGGCAGGUGUGCUGAGAGGAGGCCCCUUCCUCAGGUGGAGGCUGGACUGAAUGAUCUCUGGGGUCACCUACUGUUGGAACAUGCAAACAGCAGCAGCUCCCAGAACGUACCGGGGGUCCCAGCCACUUAUAGUUUGGACACCACAAUCCUAUUUACUGCAAACCCCAGCGGAUAUUUGCAAGUGGCUCUUCGUUCGGUUUUCAGUGAGAGGGUUUGGUGUUAUCCCCAUCAUGGGUCUUCCUUUGCUCACUGGAAUCUUUUUUUCUUUUUAUUCUAAUUUAAGUUUAAAUUUUUGAUAAAUAAAUACUAUUUAUUAUUAUUAUUUGAGACAGAGUGUCACUCUGUUACCCAGGCACUGGCGCCAUCUCGGCUCACUGCAAC
rnacentral:lncRNA from 10 species